rnacentral:sRNA from 2 species
AAGUCUUAAAAGCCGAAUCGCACAGUUUUUGAUGUACGUACGGGGGACGCAACACAUGGGGUGAAUAGACGAUCUGCAGCCGGACUUCCAGCGGAUCGCGCUUAGGGAAAUCCUCUUCCCGAACCCGACAACUAACCUCGGAGGCUUGACAGGAGGGAAAC